ACUACAGCCAAAUCUAAUCUCAAAAGAUUAGGAUAUUAAUUUUUCUCCUUUUUGCUAAUACUCAAUGAAAAACAACACUUAGCAUAAAACUUUUUCCAUGAAUAAGGGCUAGUAAUAUCCAC
ensembl:misc_RNA